rnacentral:rRNA from 1 species
AUGUCGUCCAACAACCAAGUAGCAUCCCACAAUCCAGAGCAACCAGAUAAGCAAAGUCCGGCCAACCCGCCCGGCAGCAACAAGCCUUCAACAGAGUACCAGCUGAAGACACAGCUUCUACUGCUGGCCACUCUGGUUGCGACCGUGACGUAUGCAGCGGGGCUCAACCUGCCAGGGGGAGUCUGGCAGGACACACAGGAUGGACACUUCGCAGGCGAUCCGAUCCUUCCAGACACGCACUACCACCGGUACCUUGCAUUCUACUACUGCAACGCGACUGCAUUCGCGGCAUCACUUGUGGCCUGCCUCCUUCUCCUUGUUCUUGAUGAGGCGAAGGACAACAGUGUCUGGGCAACUGUGCUGCGGGCGGUCAUGGUGCUCGAUUUACUUGGCCUCAUGGGAGCUUAUGCUGCUGGAAGCUGCCGGGAUGAUUUUACAACCAUCUACUCCUCAGUGUUAGUCUCUUCCGUCUUCGCCUACAUCAUAUAUGUCUUUGUAACCUAUGCCUUCCGGUGGGCGUUCCCCAAGAGUAGAGAAGGCAAGGCUCCUGAGAAGCAAGACAAGGAUCCUGAGAAGCAAGACAAGGACCCUGAGAAGCAAAACAAGGAUCCUGAUGUAAACAAGCGUGAAGAGGAGCACGAGGUAUUGAUGCUACUAGCAACCUUUGCGGUUACCAUCACAUACGUGGCUGGACUGGGCCCACCUGGUGGAUUCUGGGGCAACAGCCAGGAUGGCCACCGUGUGAGCGACCCAAUUAUGCAGGACCACAACUCCAGCCGGUAUCAGGCAUUCUUCGUGUGCAAUAGCACUGCAUUUGUUGCGUCCUUGCUCAUCAUUGUGCUGCUCCUGGACAAGAAGCUGAGCCAGAGAAUCUCUAAAAGGUUUGUUGCACUGUAUGGGUUCAUCGCGGUGGCGCUCAUUGGCCUUGUGGGGGCCUAUGCUGCAGGAAGCUGCAGGGAAGCUGAUAAUACCAUCUAUGUAGUUUUUCUGGCUGGUGCGGUUCUUGCAUAUAUAUUUCUACAGAUGGCUAUCACUGAAGCCAUGAACAAGACGAACAAGAAGGAUCGUGUCUCAGACACUGUGGCCCGGGCUCUCGUGGACAAGAAGGAUAGUUGGGACCAUAAAGUACUCACAUCCAUACGUGAUCGUACUUCAGAAUGGCUGAAGCAAAUAAAAGACUGGUUUCAUACAGCUUUUAGCACUAGCAGGGACAGAGGAUCUGACAAAGUAUUGGAAAAGAAUCGCUCUCUUGUCAUGUUGCUUGCUACUCUUGUGGUGAGCAUCACUUACCAGGCAGGACUAGAUCCACCAGGUGGCCUAUGGCCAGAUGACCAGGAAGAGCAUAAGGGCGGUGACCCAGUACUCCUCACAACUCAUCCUACUCGGUACAAGGUGUUCUUCUAUAGCAACUCAGCCGCCUUUGUGACAUCCCUAGUCGUCAUCAUAAUGGUUCAAAGUAGAUUUCUACUUCAGCGCCAUACAUUGCACGCAGCCAUGCUACUGGAUUUGUUUGGCCUCAUAAUUGCAUACGCUGCAGGGAGCAAUAGGGAUUCAAGCACCUCCAUCUAUGUUGUCGCCUUGGCAGGUGUUGUCCUUGUGUAUGUGGUGAUUCAUAUAGUAUUCUUCACAUUAGAAGAGCACACGGACAAAAACCAAGAUCCCGAUAAGUUGGAUAAUAGGCGCGAGAUGUUGCUGCUGCUUGCAAUCUUGGCUGCAACACUCACUUACCAAGCUGGGCUGACCCCACCAGGUGGCUUCUGGUCAGCAGAUGACAAGUUUGGUCAUCAUGCUGGAUUUCCAGUCCUCCUUGAUAACUAUCCUCGUCGUUACAAUGCAUUCUUCUACUGCAAUGCAGCAAGCUUCAUGGCAUCUGUAACUCUCAUAGUUCUUCUUGUGAACCCCACCCUAUACAAGCCGGGCAUACGGUGUUAUGCACUCUAUGUGUGCAUGGUGAUGGGCAUGUUUGGCCUCAUGGGUGCAUAUGCUGCUGGAAGCUCCCGACAUGUACGAACCUCCAUCUAUGUGUUAACUUUAGUGGCUGCAGUGUUCGCCUUCGUCACCUUUCAGGUGCUCAUUUUCUGGAUACAAAACUGGAGGAAAGGGCAGCCUAAAGAGGAAGGCUCGGACUUAAAUGCCAUGGGAGUGCCAACCCCUGCUGCAGCUACUAGUCAAGUUUCACCAUUCCAUGUUCGUGGUGCGCAGCCUACCCCCCCUGAUCCUGUAGAUGGGUCCUCUGGGCAAGAAGGUAUCACCAGUGAGUCUUCUGAACCAGUUGCUGGUGACAUGGGGACGGAAGAAAAGGGAACAGAAGAUAAGGUAACAGAAGAUAAGGGAACAGAAGAAAAGGACCUUCGUGAAUACUUGAUGCUGCUAGGAGUCCUGGCUGCGAGUGUAACAUACCAGUCUGGUUUGAAACCACCAGGUGGCCUCUGGCAGGACAACAACAAUGGACAUACUGCUGGCAACUCAAUCCUCCAUGACAUCGCCAAAGGCCGGUACCGUGCGUUCUUCUAUAGCAACUCCACUUCGUUUAUGGCUUCUAUUGUCGUCAUUGUCUUGCUACUUCCAGUAAACAAGCACAAGUUCCCACUGUGGCCAAUGCAUACUGCCAUUUUGCUAGACAUGCUAGGCCUCCUUGGAGCCUACGCAGCAGGCAGUACCAAGGAGUGGGAGAUGUCCAGGAAUGUCAUUGCUCUGGUCGUUCCUGUGCUGGCCUAUAUUGCAGCCUAUGCGGCAGUGUCAUUCUUCAGCAAGAAGGGCAGUGUGCCAACGGAAAUUCUGCAUGAACAAUCGCAAUGA